rnacentral:rRNA from 1 species
UACGUAGGGUGCAAGCGUUGUCCGGAAUUAUUGGGCGUAAAGAGCUCGUAGGCGGUCUGUCGCGUCGGCUGUGAAAUCCCGAGGCUCAACCUCGGGUCUGCAGUCGAUACGGGCAAACUAGAGUAUUGCAGGGGAGACUGGAAUUCCUGGUGUAGCGGUGAAAUGCGUAGAUAUCGAGAGGAACACCGGUGGCGAAGGCGGGUCUCUGGGCAGUAACUGACGCUGAGGAGCGAAAGCGUGGGGAGCGAACAGG